rnacentral:rRNA from 1 species
UGCCAGCAGCCGCGGUAAUACGUAGGGUGCAAGCAUUAAUCGGAUUUACUGGGCGUAAAGGGCGUGUAGGCGGUAAGGUAAGUCUGGUGUGAAAGACCUCGGCUCAACCGAGGGAACGCGCUGGAAACUGUCUUACUAGAGUGAUGGAGGGGAAACUGGAAUUCCUGGUGUAGGGGUGAAAUCUGUAGAGAUCAGGAAGAACACCGGAGGCGAAGGCGAGUUUCUGGCCAUCUACUGACGCUGAGGCGCGAAGGCGUGGGUAGCGAACGGGAUUAGAUA